rnacentral:rRNA from 1 species
AACGCGAAGAACCUUACCUAGACUUGACAUCUCCUGAAUUACCCUUAAUCGGGGAAGCCCUUCGGGGCAGGAAGACAGGUGGUGCAUGGUUGUCGUCAGCUCGUGUCGUGAGAUGUUGGGUUAAGUCCCGCAACGAGCGCAACCCUUAUCAUUAGUUGCUACCAUUAAGUUGAGCACUCUAGUGAGACUGCCACGGUUAACGUGGAGGAAGGUGGGGAUGACGUCAAAUCAUCAUGCCCCUUAUGUCUAGGGCUACACACGUGCUACAAUGGUGAAUACAAAUAGAUGCAAUACCGCGAGGUGGAGCCAAACUAUAAAAUUCAUCCCAGUUCGGAUUGUAGUCUGAAACUCGACUACAUGAAGCCGGAGUUGCUAGUAAUCGCGAAUCAGCAUGUCGCGGUGAAUACGUUCCCGGGUCUUGUACACACCGA